AUUGAACACUGGCGGCAGGCUUAACACAUGCAAGUCGAGCUAGCGGCGGACGGGUGAGUAAUGUCUUGGAAACUGCCUGAUGGAGGGGGAUAACUACUGGAAACAGUAGCUAAUACCGCAUACCAUCAGAUGUGCCCAGAUGGUAUUAGCUAUUAGUUGGGGUAAUGGCUCACCUAGGCGACGAUCCCUAGCUGGUCUGAGAGGAUGACUAGUCACCCUGGAACUGAGAAACGGGCGAGACUACUACGGGAGGCAGCAGUGGGGAAUAUUGCACAAUGGGCGCAAGCCUGAUGCAGCCAUGCCGCGUGUGUGAAGAAGGACUUCGGGUUGUAAAGCACUUUCAGCGAGGAGGCGUUACUCGCAGAAGAAGCACCGGCUAACUCCGUGCCAGCAGCCGCGGUAAUAC
rnacentral:rRNA from 1 species